rnacentral:rRNA from 1 species
GACGAACGCUGGCGGCGUGCCUAAUACAUGCAAGUAGAACGCUGAAGGAGGAGCUUGCUUCUCUGGAUGAGUUGCGAACGGGUGAGUAACGCGUAGGUAACCUGCCUGGUAGCGGGGGAUAACUAUUGGAAACGAUAGCUAAUACCGCAUAAGAGUAGAUGUUGCAUGACAUUUGCUUAAAAGGUGCAAUUGCAUCACUACUAGAUGGACCUGCGUUGUAUUAGCUAGUUGGUGAGGUAACGGCUCACCAAGGCGACGAUACAUAGCCGACCUGAGAGGGUGUACGUCCACACUGGGACUGAGACACGGCCCAGACGCCUACGGGAGGAAGCAGUAGGGAAUCUUCGGAAAUGGACGGAAGUCUGACCGGGCAACGCCGCGUAAGUGAAGAAGGUUUUCGGAUCGUAAAGAUCUGUUGUAAGAGAAGAACGAGUGUGAGAGUGGAAAGUUCACACUGUGACGGUAUCUUACCAGAAAGGGACGGCUAACUACGUG